AUUGAACGCUGGCGGCAGGCCUAACACAUGCAAGUCGAGCGGUAGAGAGAAGCUUGCUUCUCUUGAGAGCGGCGGACGGGUGAGUAAUGCCUAGGAAUCUGCCUGGUAGUGGGGGAUAACGUUCGGAAACGAACGCUAAUACCGCAUACGUCCUACGGGAGAAAGCAGGGGACCUUCGGGCCUUGCGCUAUCAGAUGAGCCUAGGUCGGAUUAGCUAGUUGGUGAGGUAAUGGCUCACCAAGGCGACGAUCCGUAACUGGUCUGAGAGGAUGAUCAGUCACACUGGAACUGAGACACGGUCCAGACUCCUACGGGAGGCAGCAGUGGGGAAUAUUGGACAAUGGGCGAAAGCCUGAUCAGCCAUGCCGCGUGAGUGAUGAAGGCUUCGGUUGUAACUAGCUUUGUACGGUAACGGAAACGGUA
rnacentral:rRNA from 1 species